rnacentral:tRNA from 1 species
GAAGCGUGUGUCUGCGCGGCUUACAGGGUGAGAUUCAAAAUCAGAACACUAAACAUGUAGAUCUGCCUGACGAAGGCUUGCGGACGCGGGUUCAAUUCCCGCCAGCUCCACCA